rnacentral:rRNA from 1 species
GAAUCAAUGGAUCGGUCAUGCCAUUGGUGUGUACUGGUCCUAUUGGUUCUCACCUUCUAAGGAACCUUAAUGUCAUUAAUUUGAUGUUUUGGGGAAUUAGGACUGUUACCUUGAAAAAAUUAGAGUGUUUAAAGCAGGCUAACGCUUGAAUACAUUAGCAUGGAAUAAUGAAAUAGGACAUCGCAUUCUAUUUUGUUGGUUUCUAGGAUCGAUGUAAUGAUUAAUAGGGAUAGUUG